UCGCAGCGGUGUGCGCAGAANGGUCUGGGCUCGAGCCUGCCUGGAGCCACCGCUGGUGCAGAUCUUGGUGGUAGUAGCAAAUACUCCAGCGAGGCCCUGGAGGACUGAUGUGGAGAAGGGUUUCGUGUGAACAGCCGUUGCACACGAGUCAGUCGAUCCUAAGCCCUAGGAGAAAUCCGAUGCAAACGGCGAUGGGAAACGCACUGAACUCACACAGAGAGACAGAGACCCAUUGAUCGGGCGAAAGGGAAUCCGGUUCCUAUUCCGGAACCCGGCAGCGGAACCGUUGUUUGUCGGGCCCUGAAAGGGGUUCGUCAGGGCAACCUAAAAGGGCCCGGAGACGCCGUCGGGGGCCCCGGAAAGAGUUUUCUUUUCUGCAUGAGCGUUCGAGUUCCCUGGAAUCCUCUCGCAGGGAGAUAGGGUUUGGAACGCGAAGAGCACCGCAGUUGCGGCGGUGCACGGGAAUUCCCGACGGACCUUGAAAAUCCGGGAGAGGGCCACGUGGAGGUGUCGCGCCGGCUCGUACCCAUAUCCGCAGCAGGUCUCCAAGGUGAAGAGCCUCUAGUC
rnacentral:rRNA from 1 species